UACAGAGGUCCCAAGCGUUGUUCGGAUUCACUGGGCGUAAAGGGUGCGUAGGUGGUAGGGUAAGUCGGAUGUGAAAGCUCGGAGCUCAACUCCGAAAUGGCAUUGGAAACUACCCAACUAGAGGGUCGGAGGGGGGACUGGAAUUCCCGGUGUAGAGGUGAAAUUCGUAGAUAUCGGGAGGAACACCGGUGGCGAAGGCGGCGACCUGGGUAGAUACUGACGCUGAGGCGCGAAAGCGUGGGGAGCAAACAGG
rnacentral:rRNA from 1 species